rnacentral:rRNA from 1 species
CAGCAGCCGCGGGAAUACAGAGGGUGCAAGCGUUAAUCGGAUUUACUGGGCGUAAAGCGUGCGUAGGCGGCUUCUUAAGUCGGAUGUGAAAUCCCUGAGCUUAACUUAGGAAUUGCAUUCGAUACUGGGAAGCUAGAGUAUGGGAGAGGAUGGUAGAAUUCCAGGUGUAGCGGUGAAAUGCGUAGAGAUCUGGAGGAAUACCGAUGGCGAAGGCAGCCAUCUGGCCUAAUACUGACGCUGAGGUACGAAAGCAUGGUGAGCAAACAGGAUUAGAUACCCCAGUAGUCCCUGUCUCUUAUAA